AGAGCGAACGCUGGCGGCAGGCCUAAUACAUGCAAGUCGAACGGAUCCUUCGGGAUUAGUGGCGGACGGGUGAGUAACACGUGGGAACGUGCCCUUUGGUUCGGAACAACUCAGGGAAACUUGAGCUAAUACCGGAUGUGCCCUUCGGGGGAAAGAUUUAUCGCCAUUGGAGCGGCCCGCGUCUGAUUAGCUAGUUGGUGAGGUAAAGGCUCACCAAGGCUUCGAUCAGUAGCUGGUCUGAGAGGAUGAUCAGCCACACUGGGACUGAGACACGGCCCAGACUCCUACGGGAGGCAGCAGUAGGGAAUCUUGCGCAAUGGGCGAAAGCCUGACGCAGCCAUGCCGCGUGAAUGAUGAAGGUCUUAGGAUUGUAAAAUUCUUUCAGCGGGACGAUAAUGACGGUACCCGCAGAAGAAGCCCCGGCUAACUUCGUGCCAGCAGCCGC
rnacentral:rRNA from 1 species